CUUUAAACUUUGUGAAAAUACUCCCCCACAAAUUUUGAUAUCAAGCGUACGCUUUUUUUAAUUUUCUCUUUCCACUUAUACGCUCUUUUCUUAUACGCUCUUUUCUAAGCCUUCAAAUCAUUAUCUCCUUUAACUAUCUUCUUCUCCGAAUAAUUGUCUUUCUAACAUCAUUUUACUAUAUUUCCUUUUUAACCUAGAAGUAAUUGGGCAGAUCUUUCUCUUGAAGAAGUAAUAAUCCAAAACACCAUAAGAGGAUGAACCUGUUGUGGAGGACGUGAAAGACGAUGAAUAUGCCGACAAGGAGGAUGAUACCUUCGGUGUAAAUGGGAGUCGAAAACAGAGAAGAAUUGAAAAGAAAAUCUAUGUGAUUCUGAAGUAGUUGAUCUUAAAAAAACAUAAAGAAGAUGAGAUUGCAAAAGUUAGCAAUAAUUUAGAUCUCUCCCUCUUCUAUAAAAGAACAGGGGUUGCCAAGGUUGGUGGAAUUGCUAGACACGAUAAUGGUUGCUUGCUGGUUAGGUAGUUUUGCUGCUAAUCUUGGAAAGGGUUCGGUCCAUGGUGCUGAAUUGCAGGGAGUUUAUUUCAGUUUGCAAAUGGCUUGGAAGUUGUGGAAUUUGAUAACAGAAUAGUUGUUGAUAAGCUGAAUGGUAACAGUUUUCAUGGCUUUCAUGCUAAUAUCGCAGCUGCUAUCUGAGCUUUAAUGAAUAGAAAUUGGGAAAUUUUAAUCACUCACGUUAACAGAGAAGCUAACUUUACAGCGGCAUCUUCGAGUGAUGAUGAUAUAGCUGGUUUUAUUUUUCAUGAUAACCCUCCAAGAAGUCUUUUGCAAUGGUUGAUGCAUGAUGAACAUGGAGUAGCUUACUGCAGAAGGAUUGCUAUAGAUUAGUUUUCAGGCUUAUGCUUCUAAUUCUUGUAACAAAAAAAAGUGUUUGGUUUAUAAAAAUUGCAUGCACAAAAUUAUUAAAAAUCAAACUAUGUAAAAUAUCUGUAUAUUAUUAUUAAUUUGUAUUUAAUUGGUUGAA